rnacentral:misc_RNA from 1 species
GUUAACAUUGGAUGUUACUACUUGGUUGGCAUUCCAGUUGGAGUUGUACUUGGUUAUGUUUUCAAACUGCAAGUUAGAGGUGUUUGGAUUGGAAUGCUCUUUGGUGUUUUGGCACAAACUGUGGUGUUACUUGUCAUCACUCUCAAAACUGAUUGGGACAAACAGGUAUUUCUUCAUUUUAAGUCACUAAUUAAUGCUAAAA